rnacentral:rRNA from 1 species
AACUCUGCCUGAAACAUCCCCGGUGGUAAAGAAAGGUUUUCGUGUGGAAAAUCUUAUUUAGUGGGGAAGGACAAAGUGCGGGGGGAAAAACCCGGGGGGAGGCGGUACCGGGAGAAGAACCCCGGGCAAAUUAUGUGCCCGCAGGCGGUGUAAUAUGUAGGGGGCGAGUUUUCUCCGGAUUCUGUGGGUGUAAAGUGUGCAGAGGCGUUUAUUCAAGUCCGAUGUGAAAGCCCCGGGCUAAACCCGGGGGGUGCCUUGGAAACUGGGUGAUUUGAGUGCGGGAGAGGCAAGGGGAAUUCCGCGUGUAGCGGUGAAAUGCGUAGAUAUGGGGAGGAAUCCCAGUGGAGAAGGCGCCUUGGGGGACAAAAACUGACGGUGAGGCAAAAAAGCGUGGGGAACAAACAGGAUUAGAUCCCCUGGUAGUCCCCGCCAAAAAAGGUGAGGAAAGGUGUAGGGGGGGACACCAACUAAAAGCGAAGGUCAGACAAUAAGCA